AUUUUGGCUGUUGUCUCUUUCUCCAGGAUUGUGGGUGACCUCACAGCUUGCUGAUCAUGAAUCAAGAAUUAACCCUGAAGAAAAUGUAUGGGGAGAAUGUGGCCUCAAACUGAUUCAGAGAAGAGUUAAAAAGAGGAAAUGGACAGCAAACACUCUUCCAGAUUGAAGAAAAAGCAUCCAGGGACUUCCUUUUACAAACCAGAUGGCAGCCUCCAGCUGGCUGCCUUAGAGAUAUUGAAAUUGGAAGACCCAAUAUCUGAGCAGACACGCCCACUUAUAGUUCUCUCCAUCUCUACAUGGAGCCACAACCAC
rnacentral:lncRNA from 1 species